rnacentral:rRNA from 1 species
AGCAGCCAUCAUUUAAAGAAAGCGUAAUAGCUCACUGGUCGAGUCGGCCUGCGCGGAAGAUGUAACGGGGCUAAACCAUGCACCGAAGCUGCGGCAGCGACACUAUGUGUUGUUGGGUAGGGGAGCGUUCUGUAAGCCUGCGAAGGUGACCUGUGAGGGUUGCUGGAGGUAUCAGAAGUGCGAAUGCUGACAUAAGUAACGAUAAAGCGGGUGAAAAGCCCGCUCGCCGGAAGACCAAGGGUUCCUGUCCAACGUUAAUCGGGGCAGGGUGAGUCGACCCCUAAGGCGAGGCCGAAAGGCGUAGUCGAUGGGAAACAGGUUAAUAUUCCUGUACUUGGUGUUACUGCGAAGGGGGGACGGAGAAGGCUAUGUUAGCCGGGC